UAUGUGAUCGUCUCUCGCAUAUCAAUAAGCGGAGGAAAAGAAACUAACAAGGAUUCCCCUAGUAACGGCGAGUGAAGCGGGAAGAGCUCAAAUUUGAAAUCUUAAAGGGUUUCCCUUUACGGAAUUGUAGUUUAAAGAAGUGUUUUCUGUUGAGGUUUUGGUAAAAGUUCUUUGGAAUAGGACAUCAUAGAGGGUGAGAAUCCCGUAUUUGACCUUUACUUUCAACUUUGUGAUACACUCUCAAAGAGUCGGAUUGUUUGGGAAUGCAGUCCAAAAUGGGUGGUAAAUUUCAUCUAAAGCUAAAUAUUGGCGAGAGACCGAUAGCGAACAAGUACCGUGAGGGAAAGAUGAAAAGAACUUUGAAAAGAGAGUUAAACAGUACGUGAAAUUGUCAAAAGGGAAGCGUUUGACACCAGUGUUGUUUUCUCUGAAAAUCAAUUAAAGAACUGUUUAUGCUAAGCUGUUUAGACUUUAUCAGCUAUCUGUUUAGUUUUGAGCUUUUCUUUAAUGCACUUUUCAGUUAACAAGUCAACAUCAAUUUCUUUUGCUGUAAAAAAGCUUGAGGAAGGUGGCUUGAGAUUCGUCUUAAGUGUUUAUAGCCUCUUGCCUAUGCAGUCGGAGAGAUUGAGGUCUGCAGCGUAGAUCCUUCGGGGCUAAAUGCAUUUGUGCUAAGUUAUAGCAUUUUAUAGGACAACUUGUUGACUAUGAUUUGUCUUGUAGCUUACUCGCUUAUGUUAUUUUACCUACGCUUAGGAUGUUGAGCGCAUGUCUCUCUCU
rnacentral:rRNA from 1 species